UUUAGUCGUUACUGAAUUUUAACACUGUGGGUGUUAAAUUAGACCACGUCUUCAUUUCCUGUGGAGCAGCGCAUUUCAGAAUCUUCGCUCGCCAUCUUUUCUUGGUGCUGCGGAGCUGCCCUCAGAUUCAGACCUCAGCACCACCCAGUGACAGCAGACAGAUCAUCCAACAUGUUCACAUGUUAACUGCAAAAUGAACUGAUGAAAACAGUGCAAAGGUUAAAAUACCACACGUGCUGUAGGGAAAGCUGCAGCUUUAUUGAUAAAGUUAAAGACAAAAAA